rnacentral:lncRNA from 1 species
CAAACUGAGGACCUUUUCCGGGUGCAGGAUUAUUUUCUCAUUGGUGGACUUUGGCUUUUGUCUGCUCUUUGAUCGGGUUGUUGUUUCUUUGACAUAUCACCAUUUCCAUUCAUAAUUUUAUGCUGUACCCCUUUUUGACAUCAUUACCUGUUAUGUACAAAAAAGAAGAUGUGGUAUGAUUGCCUACGAGAAAACUCUCCACAAGAGACCAAAUGACACAGAUAUUAACAACUACAGGUCACCGUAUGAACUUCAACAAUGAGCGAAGCCCAUACUGCAUAGUCAGCUAUAAAAGGCCCCG